UACGAAGGGGGGCUAGCGUUGCUCGGAAUCACUGGGCGUAAAGCGCACGUAGGCGGCUUUUUAAGUCAGGGGUGAAAUCCUGGAGCUCAACUCCAGAACUGCCUUUGAUACUGAGAAGCUUGAGUCCGGGGGAGGUGAGUGGAACUGCGAGUGUAGAGGUGAAAUUCGUAGAUAUUCGCAAGACACCAGUGGCGAAGGCGGCUCACUGGCCCGGUACUGACGCUGAGGUGCGAAAGCGUGGGGAGCAAACAGG
rnacentral:rRNA from 1 species